AUGGAGUUUGUACUUGUCUGGGUUUUCCUUGUUGCUCUUUUAAAAGGUGUCCAGUCUGAGGUGCAGCUGGUGGAGUCUGGGGGAGACCUGGUGAAGCCUGGGGGGUCCCUGAGACUCUCCUGGGCAGCCUCUGGAUUCACCUUCAGUAGUAAUGGCAUGAACUGGGUCCGCCAGGCUCCAGAGAAGGGGCUGCAGUGGGUCCAGGUAUUAACAGUGAUGGAAGUAGCACAGGCUACGCAGACUCUGUGAAGGGCCGAUUCACCAUCUCCAGAGACAACGCCAAGAACACGCUGUAUCUGCAGAUGAACAGCCUGAGAGCCGAGGACACGGCCGUGUAUUACUGUGCCGGUGACACUGUGAGGGGACGUCAUUGUGAGCCCAGACACAAACCUCAAAGUACAGUAGGAUCAGGACCACCAGGGGGUGCACACUACUCACCAAUUCUGUCUUUAAGCCCCAGGAGCAGGUGCAGAUGA